UACGGGGGGAGCAAGCGUUGUUCGGAUUUACUGGGCGUAAAGGGCGCGUAGGCGGCCUGUGCAAGUCAGUUGUGAAAUCUCCGAGCUUAACUCGGAACGGUCAACUGAUACUGCUCGGCUAGAGUGCGGAAGGGGCAACUGGAAUUCCUGGUGUAGCGGUGAAAUGCGCAGAUAUCAGGAGGAACACCAAUUGCGAAGGCAGCUCGCUGGGACGUAACUGACGCUGAGACGCGAAAGCGUGGGGAGCAAACAGG
rnacentral:rRNA from 1 species